rnacentral:rRNA from 1 species
UACGUAGGGGGCAAGCGUUGUCCGGAAUUAUUGGGCGUAAAGCGCGCGUAGGUGGCCCAGUAAGUCCGCUCUGAAAGUCAAAGGCUCAACCUUUGAAAGCGGGUGGAUACUGCUGGGCUAGAGUCCGGAAGAGGCGAGUGGAAUUCCUGGUGUAGCGGUGGAAUGCGCAGAUAUCAGGAGGAACACCAACGGCGAAGGCAGCUCGCUGGGACGGUACUGACACUGAGGCGCG